GGGGGGGGGGGGGGGGGGGGGGGGGGCGGGCGGGGCGGGGGGGGGGGCGGGGGGCGUGCGCCUCGGAGGUGGGGGGCGGGCGGGGGAGUAACCCGUGGCUAACCUCCCUCGAAGACGGGGAUAACUGCGGGGACCCGGAGCUCCUACCGGCUCAUAUCUUGAACCGCAGGGGUCAAUAGUGAAAGACCGUAUUGCUGUCCUUUAUAGAGUGAUCCGCGCCGCCUUAGCUAGUUGGUACGGUAACGGCUUACCAAGGCAACGAUGGGUAGCCGACCUGCGAGGGUGAUCGGACACACGGGAACUGAGACACGGUCCAGACGCCUACGGGAGGCAGCAGUAGGGAAUCUUCCGCAAUGGGCGAAAGCCUGACGGAGCAACGCCGCGUGAGUGAUGAAGGUCUUCGGAUCGUAAAACUCUGUUAGUAGGGAAGAACAAAUGUGUAAGUAACUAUGCACGUCUUGACGGUACCUAAUCAGAAAGCCACGGCUAACUACGUG
rnacentral:rRNA from 1 species